rnacentral:rRNA from 1 species
CGACUCUCGACAACGGAUAUCUCGGCUCUCGCAUCGAUGAAGAACGUAGCAAAAUGCGAUACUUGGUGUGAAUUGCAGAAUCCCGUGAACCAUCGAGUCUUUGAACGCAAGUUGCGCCCGAAGCCAUUAGGCCGAGGGCACGUCUGCCUGGGCGUCAUGCAUCGUGUCGCCCCC